rnacentral:rRNA from 1 species
AUUGAACGCUGGCGGCAGGCCUAACACAUGCAAGUCGAGCGAAUGAAGAGAGCUUGCUCUCUGAUUUAGCGGCGGACGGGUGAGUAAUGCCUAGGAACCUGCCUGGUAGUGGGGGAUAACGUCCGGAAACGGGCGCUAAUACCGCAUACGUCCUACGGGAGAAAGCAGGGGACCUUCGGGCCUUGCGCUAUCAGAUGAGCCUAGGUCGGAUUAGCUAGUUGGUGAGGUAAUGGCUCACCAAGGCGACGAUCCGUAACUGGUCUGAGAGGAUGAUCAGUCACACUGGAACUGAGACACGGUCCGGACUCCUACGGGAGGCAGCAGUGGGGAAUAUUGGACAAUGGGCGAAAGCCUGAUCCAGCCAUGCCGCGUGUGUGAAGAAGGUCUUCGGAUUGUAAAGCACUUUAAGUUGGGAGGAAGGGCAGUAAGUUAAUACCUUGCUGUUUUGACGUUACCGACAGAAUAAGCACCGGCUAACUUCGUGCCAGCCGCCGCUGUAACAC